rnacentral:rRNA from 1 species
UGGGGAAUUUUGGACAAUGGGCGAAAGCCUGAUCCAGCAAUGCCGCGUGUGUGAAGAAGGCCUUCGGGUUGUAAAGCACCUUUGUCCGGAAAGAAAUCCUUGGCUCUAAUACAGUCGGGGGAUGAUGGUACCGGAAGAAUAAGCACCGGCUAACUACGUGCCAGCAGCCGCGGUAAUACGUAGGGUGCAAGCGUUAAUCGGAAUUACUGGGCGUAAAGCGUGCGCAGGCGGUUUGCUAAGACCGAUGUGAAAUCCCCGGGCUCAACCUGGGAACUGCAUUGGUGACUGGCAGGCUAGAGUAUGGCAGAGGGGGGUAGGAAUUCCACGUGUAGCAGUGAAAUGCGUAGAGAUGUGGAGGAAUACCGAUGGCGAAGGCCAGCCCCCUGGGCCAAUACUGACGCUCAUGCACGAAAGCGUGGGGAGCAAACAGGAUUAGAUACCCUGGUAGUCCACGCCCUAAACGAUGUCAACUAGUUGUUGGGGGAUUCAUUUCCUUAGUAACGUAGCUAACGCGUGAAGUUGACCGCCUGGGGAGUACGGUCGCAAGAUUAAAACUUAAUGAAUUGACGGGGUCAUAGCUGUUUCCU